AUGUCUACUUGCCUCACUGAUGUUAUUAAUGCCAAUGGUGUUGAUUUUAUUGGUCUUCAAGAGACUAUGAAAAAAUCCUAUAAUUCUUCCUUUUUUAGGAAGCUGGACCCUGGGCAAAAAAUUCAUUGGGAAUGGAUACCAUCUAGGGGAACUGGAGGUAUUUUAUGUGGUAUCAACAAAGAUAAGUUUGAUCUUACUACUGUUAAACAUGGUAAAUAUAUCCUUCAAAUGGUACUCUUUGAUAAGAGUAAGAAAUGUAGCUGGGCUCUGAUGGUAGUAUAUUGAGCAACUCAUGAUGAAAGUAAACCUGAAUUUAUAGCUGAGCUAUCACAUAUGUGCAAUAGUACUCACAUCCCCUAUUUGGUGGGAGGGGAUUUCAAUAUUCUUCGACACACUGGUGAGAAGAAUAAAAAAACCCCAAUGUCUCACUCUGAUGUGUUCAAUUCUGUCAUCCACUUGCUGGGGCUUAGGGAGAUUUGCAUGUCGGGAGCGUUAUAUACUUGGUCCAACAAACAGGAAAGCCCUACCUUGGAAAAGUUGGAUAGGGUGUUAAUGUCCUCUGACUGGGAGGAUUUGUAUCCCCUUGUUUCGGUUAGUAAGCUGGUUAAGGAAUUAUCUGACCAUAAUCACUUGCUGUUGGAUGGGGGUUUGGCCUCUUCUAGAGCACCAGGUAAUAGGUGCUUUAGGUUUGAUAACAACUGGCUUAAUAACCCAUACUUUUUACCUCUGGUUGCUGACAUUUGGUCGAAACGUGUGUAUACUGAUGAUCCCAUUACACCUAAAAUAUUAAACUGA
rnacentral:rRNA from 1 species